GAAACGCUGUAAUUUCCUUUUUUACUUUCACAGCAAUAGUACAGAAUCCAGAAUGGAUGUCCUCUUUGUAGCUAUCCUUGCUGUGCCACUUAUCCUGGGACAAGAAUAUGAGGAUGAAGAAAUCCUGGAAGAGGAUGAUUAUUAUCAAGUGGUCUAUUAUUACACAGUCACCCCCAGUUAUGAUGAUUUUGGUGCAAAUUUCACCAUUGAUUACUCCAUGUUUGAGUUAGAGGAUGGGCUGAACAGGUUGGAUCAGAAGGUAACAGAAGCGGUAGAGACUACCACAAGUCUUGAAACAGAACGUGCAGACCAUCAGAAACCUGUAACCAGGAAACCAGUAACAAUGGAACCAAAACAAUCUAUUAAAGGCCUGGAAGUGGCAUUAUGAAUGAGAGGAGAAAAACAAGAAAUAUUUUGAAGAAAAUGUCUUGCUUCAUACAAUAAUUUCAUAAGAGGAAUAAAUGACAGAGUCCAGAUCUCAAUGAUGCUGUGUCCGGUCUGCAGAGUCCUGUAUCCCUCCUUCUGUGGUGGGCCCUAGUUCAGGG